rnacentral:misc_RNA from 1 species
AGAAUUCAAAUGGUGCCAUAUUCAGGACUGGAGCCUUAAUUGCUUCACAUUUUAAUUGUUAAAAAUGUCCGUGGUCCAGGGCCUCCCUCCCACAUACACAGAAUCCAAGUUGCUGAAUAAAGGGGGCAAUGGGACUCCCUCAGAAGUUCACAGUUCAGUGGAAUCCAUGGGGACCAUUACAAUACAGGAAAUCAAUGAUGCACAGUAUGAAGAUGAAAAGAAGAAGAUUUAUGGACAUCCUCUCUUCCCUUUAAUGGAGCUGCUGUUUGUGAAAUGUGAACAAGCCUCCCAAACAUCGGAUUGUCCCAGUUCUGACAGCUUUGAUGUAGACAUUCAGACAUUUGUUCAGCGCCAGGAAAAGGAAAGAAAGCCUUUCUUCAGUGAAGAUACAGAACUGGACAAUUUGAUGGUUAAAUCAAUACAAGUAUUACGGAUUCAUUUAUUGGAACUGGAAAAAGUGAAUGAGUUAUGCAAAGACUUCUGUAACAGAUACAUAAACUGCCUGAAAGGCAAACUCCAAAGUGAACAGCUUCUCCGUGUGGACACAGACUUUGAUGAUUUCAGUGAACAUGGUUCUUCCCCGCCCCUAAGUGGGGGUCAGGUUUCAGGGACUGCAGGUGUUGUGACCAGUACAGGUAUGGUGAUUCAGCAGCAAUCAGCAGCAGCCACGUUGAAUCAGGUGUAUCAGAUGGUGCAGACUCCACAAGGGCUGGUGGCUCAGCCAAUUCAGAUACAAAGCACACCUUUACAAAGUCCCAUUGUCUCCAGUGCAGUGAUAGGGGGAAGCUCUUCUCUGAAUCCCCUAGGGUUAGUCAGCAGUCAGUCUGCCCAAGCUGCAGCAGCAUUAGACUCUGAUGAUGAUGAUCCACUGGGGAAAAAGAAAAGUAAAAGAGGAGUGCUUCCAAAGCAUGCAACUCAGGUCAUGAAAUCUUGGCUCUUUCAACACAUUGUGCAUCCAUACCCUACAGAAGACGAAAAAAGGCAGAUAGCCAAUCAGACAAAUCUGACAUUGUUACAGGUCAACAACUGGUUUAUCAAUGCCAGAAGAAGAAUUCUACAGCCAAUGUUGGAUGCCAGUAAUCCUGAACCUACAAAGAAGGCCAAGUCCAAGCCACAGAAUCGUCCGUUACAGAGGUUCUGGCCAGAGAGUAUAGCCAACAUCCAGCCUCAGUUACCCUCGGGUCUACAGUCUGCGGUCAAGUCGGAGGCCGCCACCUCGGUCACUGACACAGUGCAGACUCAGCCCAUUGUCAUACCCAUCGUUACAAUGCCAUCUCACAGUGAGCAAGAGGCAGCUGAUGAUAGCAAACACAGCCAAGACAGCAUUUCAUUAUCCAGCCACAGAGAGCCAACAGACUCAUCCUCCAGUGAGACAGACCCUCACUGACAGGGGGAGGUGGGGGAAUGAGGAGUGUUAUGCUGCCAAAGACAAAUGUUAUUGUUCGCCCAAGUGUGAAGACUGAGAGUUUCACUGCUGAGAUGGGACCGGUAUUUAACAUAAUGCCAGAUAAAAAUUUUAGGCCAAAGUCUGUCAAUGCUUGGUUUAAUAUAUUUUGUUACGUGCCAAAAGAAAUGGUUUCCAAAAACAGAAGAGGCAGGUCAGAAAACUAAUCAGUUAUGGAUCCAUCUCUGUAAAAUAUAGAGAAAUAAUUAAGAUAUCUUCCAUCAUUUUAUUGUUAGCCAAAUUUCUUCAGAUGUGGUAUGUUCUGUGACAUGUAUUUAUCUGGCUGCUGAAAGGAGAUGAAUCAAGGAUUUCCCAGGAGGUGCCAAACCCAGGGCGAGGCAGCAAAAGCCACUGUAGACUUUUUUUAUUCUGCAAAGCAGAGAUGAUUACUUUUGCAUUAUUAUGCUGUAUAUAUAAAAAUUAAGGACACUGGUGUAGUGGCUUUUUGUUACUUAUCGUUGUGAUUGAACGUAAGCGAUAAAAUGUUCUUUCAUAAAACUAGUUUUAUUCUUUUAGUCGAUAUAUCAACAAUCAUUUUAUGUCUACAAAUGAUCUUGAAGUAAGAAAAGUAAAUUCUAAUUUCAUCCAUAAACUGACAAUAUAGGCAAAUAGGGCAAAACUAUAACAUAAGGAGAAGAUUUCUCUGUGCACGUUAUUAAUGUAUUAUUUACAUUUGAUAUUUAAACAAAUGGGAACUUCAGUAACCAAAGAAGCUUUUAUUUGUUUUUUACUCAGAUUAAUUUCAAAUUUUGUGAAAAAGAAUUUUUUUUAUGUUUCAUUUUAAGAAUCAUAGUGUUGAGACCUGUAUUCUCAGUCUGUGCUUACAAAAAGUCUCAAAUUUGUCAAACUCUCUUGAUAGGAAACAUUAUUUUUAUGUUGUUCUAAAACAAGCAUAUAAUUAUAUUGUACAUUUGUUCUGUGUUAUUUUUCCAGCAUGACAAUUUGAACGCAUGAGAAGUAAUAUAAAUCCUGUUGAAUUGUUGGUUUUUCAUGAAAUUUUAGCUUUUGUAAGAUAUACUUGUUAAGAAUAUUGCAUAAGUGUUGAUGAUUAUUUGUAAAAAAUUCCUGUUUACAAUGCUUGUUGUAUGGACUUAAUAAGUUUUCUGGUUGUGUUCUUUGUUAUCAAGAUAUUUAAUCAAAAAAUAUUUGUGUAAAUUUUUUAUUAUGAAAGAAAAAGAUUCAAUUUUUUGAAUAUGAACAAAAUGUGUUUUAAAAAAGCAAUUGAGAAUAUUCUUUGUCAUCAAAUUUGCAAGGAUAUGUCAAUGGAAAAUCAGGCAAAGGGUGGUACAUAUAUGAAUUUUAUGUUAUGAGUUAGUACAAAAUACAUUUCGCUAACAUUGUUUUGAUUGAAUUUAUGUGAUAUACAUUUACUGUGCAAAAAUAAGGAAAUUUAGAUCAUUACCAUAAAAAGAUAUACAUUAUUGUCAUAUUAACUAACUCAUAAAUCAUGGUCCUUUGAUUUAAAUACUUGUACAUGUUUCUAGAGGAAACAGGUGGGUAAACAUUCAUUUUAAUGAAUUCUAAAUGAAACGCUUCAACAUAUUUGUUCUAGUCUGCCUGGUUUUCCAUUGGUCUAUUUUAGCUCAAGUUAACUUGAUUUUUUUUGUAUGUUCAGUGUUUUGUACAGUGAAUUAAUGUAUGCAUUGUUAAUUUAAGUAACAUAAACAGAUUUAGGUUAGUGUUUAAGAAUGCAGGUCUUAAAAAAUUUUCAGCAUUUUAGUCUUUACUGGACAUUAGAUUGUUUGUUCCCAUAGAUUCCGGGCUUUGGAUGUGCGACAUAUGGUGCUUAGCUUUCAUACACUGUAUUUUCCUCCAUUUUUGUACUUUUAAGUACAUUGUUUUGUUAAUGAAGAAAAACAAACAAUAAAAAAGAAGAAAUC